GACGAACGCUGGCGGCGUGCCUAACACAUGCAAGUUGAGCGACGAACCAGGGCUUGCCCUGGGGCAAAGCAGCGAACGGGUGAGUAACACGUGGGUAACCUACCCCGAUAACCGGGACAACCCGAGGAAACUCGGGCUAAUACCGGAUGUGCUCACUGGACUUCGGUUCAGUGCGUAAAGGAAGCUUCGGCCUCCGUAUCGGGAGGGGCCCGCGGCCCAUUAGUUUGUUGGUGAGGUAACGGCUCACCAAGACCGCGAUGGGUAGCUGGCCUGAGAGGACGAUCAGCCACACUGGGACUGAGACACGGCCCAGACUCCUACGGGAGGCAGCAGUGGGGAAUCUUGCGCAAUGCGCGAAAGCGUGACGCAGCAACGCCGCGUGGGGGAAGAAGGCCUUCGGGUUGUAAACCCCUUUCAGGAGGGACGAAGGUGCGGCGGUGAAUAGCCGUCCGGACUGACGGUACCUCCACAAGAAGCCCCGGCUAACUACGUG
rnacentral:rRNA from 1 species